rnacentral:sRNA from 1 species
GCUGGGUGUGGUGGUGCACAUCUGUAUUCCCAACAGCUCAGGAAGGCUGAGGCAGGAGGAUCGCAAGUUCAAAGCCAGCCUCAGCAACGGUGAGGCGCUAGGUAACUUGGUGAGACCCUGUUUCUA